UACGAAGGGGGCUAGCGUUACUCGGAUUGACUGGGCGUAAAGAGCUCGUAGGCGGUUUGUCGCGUCUGCUGUGAAAACUCGGGGCUUAACCCCGGGCCUGCAGUGGGUACGGGCAGACUAGAGUGUGGUAGGGGAGACUGGAAUUCCUGGUGUAGCGGUGGAAUGCGCAGAUAUCAGGAGGAACACCGAUGGCGAAGGCAGGUCUCUGGGCCAUUACUGACACUGAGAAGCGAAAGCAUGGGGAGCGAACAGG
rnacentral:rRNA from 1 species